AUUACAGUAUUCAGGGAGUUGCUGUCAUCUCAAGAUACGCAGGUGUCUGUGGAACAUAAACAGAUGCGAUCGUUCAGACAGUGAACUCAAUUGAUAGAGGGUAGAGGAAAAUAUCAGCCAUAAAAUCAUAAAUGUAACAUCUCCAGUUAAUGUUGGCCAGGUGCACUGCGGCUGUUUUGCAGCCCAACAAGGACAAAGUGGCACUCUGAGGCCAUGCAGCACCUCCAGAUGAGGGACUGCUUGAUUAUUAGCUGAAAAUAUACCUCUUGUGCAUCAUCCUACUUCAGUAUUGCCUUGCCUAACCCGCAGUCUCUGAGGACAGAAAUCAGUUCAUCAUGCAGCACUAAGGUUGGAAACUGCUCUGUCCUGCCAUGCUAGGUUGAGUUUCAGUGAUGAAUGUCUGCAGACUUCUUGGCGACCCCGAGUGUGGGGAUUGGGGCUCAGCUGCCCACCCCACAGCUCUGUCCCUUUCCUUUGGUGCUGCACAGCUCCCAUGAGUAGUUUUGUUGCUGUGGUUGCCCUCAUCAUCAGCCUGGGUAGCUGAGCCUGAAAAAAAAUGACAAGGAGAGAUGUUGAUGGGAAACUGCUGAAGAUGAAACGCAGUCUGCAGAGCCGCAGCUGCCAUCUGGCUGCUUGUUGGAUAUCUGGAGCAUUAAUCUUUUUUCAGGAGAGGCUGGAGGAGGAAGGCAAUUGCCAAGCACGUCUGUAAUCUACGUAGGAGGGUUUUGUGUAGCUGUAGGGGGAGAAGAGUGAUGGAAUACCCCCCUGUACCAUGGAUGACUUCAGCAUUCGUGCUGUGAGUCAGCAUCCACCUGCUGAGGCCGAGCAGAUGCGGGCACGAGGGUCCCUGCGUUGGUGCUCUCUUGGUGGUGUUGGGCUCUCACCGAGCCACGGAAGCUCAGUGCCAGCUGUUGGCUUCACCCAGCCAGCAGUGGGCCUCACCUCCACGGUGCCAGGAAAACAAACUGAAAGGAAGGGUCGCAAUUCAGUCUGCGGACAGACAGAGAAGAGAGAUUCAGCUGCAGUGCCUAAGCCGAUAAUCUUCUUGGAAGCACCCUCAGACAGCAGGGCCUGGUACUUCAGCUCCUCCAAGAACAAAACCUCUACAAAUCCUUCAUCCCAAAAAACGUUUUGAGGUUUUCAACUUACGUUAAAGCCCUACCUGAAUACCGCAAGAACAGAACCUUUCAUUGCGCGAUGUCCGUGUGCCCAAGAAGGCUGUGCCCGGCACACUGCUGCCUUGCUCCUGCUGAGCCUGAGUUUUUGGGGGCGGGAGGGGAAGCGCUCAAGGAAAAGGAGUAG
ensembl:lncRNA